ensembl:lncRNA
CCCUAAUCAGCCGCCUGGGCCACCUGAAGCUGGUUAGCCUUAUUACACCAGACAGACCAAAGACACAGUGGAAGCAUGCUGGUGAAAGGAAUAACUGCGAUACAUCAAGUCAUCUUUAAGCCUUCCUCAUGAGAGUAUUCUGAAGAAAAACUGUCGGCAAAAAUAAUGGCUCUCAUCACUCUUCUCCCACCAACCUUCUGAACAUCAGAGUCCCCAGAAAGGAAGGAGUACGAUAGGGGGAGUGCUGACGGGGGUAUUGCCAAACUUGGUUUUAACACUGAAAUCCUGCAACUUGGAGAGAAAGAAGUUCUGUGGAAAUGCAAUAGCAGAUAGUCAUAGUGAUGGAGUUGAUAUUCUGCUGUUUUGUCUUACACUAAACUUUUCAUACUGAUUAUAGUUGCAUCCUCUUCGUUUUCGAUUUCCUUUUCAUAAUAAAUGCAUGCUUAUGUUUGCAUUUGGGAUGAGAUGUCAUCUUAUGAACGCAUUCAGUAAAUACUUUCCAGAGCAGUUGAUCAUGUAGUUUGAACUGUUAAUCCAAUUAACGCUUACUUGUCAAAACAUUUGGCUUAAUGAGACCAUAUAUAGCUAAUGUGGGCGAGAUCAUUUUGUUAUAAAUGCAUUCUACAGAUUUAUUGAAGGCCUACAGUAAAUAACUUCCAGAAGUUUGGGCUGUUAAUCCUGUUUACUUUUACUAACCAAUUGCUAAUUAUCUCCAUAUACCUGCACCAAUGAGACCCUAAUGGAACGUUUGAAAGUUAACAAAUGUUAACUGCAAAUUAAGGUCUCUCACUCUAUCCCUUUUCUUUCUUCUUUUGUUCCUUUGGUUCUUUCUUUAUUUCUCUCGCUCUUUCUAUUCUUUCGUUUUUUGCUUCUUUCUCCUUUCUUUUCCUUACUCUCUCUCCUUCUCUCUCUCUUUCACUGUCCGUCAAACCACAUAAAGGGGAUAAAGUUGUGUGGGAUGGAUAUGUGCACUUGGCUGUUGACAGCCACUUCACACCCGAUCUCUAUGUGACAGGUGCGACGUUGUGG